AACACAUUCAUCUUUUUCACAGUUGGUGCUGAAGCAGAUGAUAACAGGCUUCAGUUUCUUCUCAAGGAAGUUCAGGGAAGCUGCUCUUGAUUUGGUAGCUGUGAUGUCAGUGGAGAAUUAUGUUUAAUUUUUGACUUCUUUGUAUAUGUUGCAUAAGGACAAAUUUUAGGAUUAAGGAUUGAUGUUGAAUUCAAUUUGGGACAAAUCUCAGACACAUGAGCCGAGCCUUGGGCAUAGACAAAUCAUAAUCGUUUCUUCAAUCGCAUAUCAUUUGCCUUCGUAGAGUCGUGAUUCAUGCUAAA